AGUGAACGCUGGCGGUAGGCCUAACACAUGCAAGUCGAACGGCAGCACAGUAAGAGCUUGCUCUUACGGGUGGCGAGUGGCGGACGGGUGAGGAAUACAUCGGAAUCUACUUUUUCGUGGGGGAUAACGUAGGGAAACUUACGCUAAUACCGCAUACUACCUACGGGUGAAAGCAGUGGAUCUUCGGACCUUUCGCGAUUGAAUGAGCCGAUGUCGGAUUAGCUAGUUGGCGGGGUAAAGGCCCACCAAGGCGACGAUCCGUAGCUGGCCUGAGAGGAUGAUCGGCCACACUGGAACGGAGACACGGUCCAGACUCCUACGGGAGGCAGCAGUGGGGAAUUUUGCACAAGGGGCGAAAGCCUGACCCAGCAAUACCGCGUGGGUGAAGAAGGCCUUCGGUUGGUAAAACCCUUUUAUUGGGAAAGAAAAGCAGCAGGUUAAUACCCCGCUGUUCUGACGGCACCCAAAGAAUAAGCACCGGCUAACUUCGUG
rnacentral:rRNA from 1 species